AUGAUUCAUGAGCAAAUAAUCAUAAAGUCAAGCUAUAUAGUGCACUUUCUGUUCUCAGGAAGGAAGCAUGGCACCAGCCAAUAUCACUCCAGCUACAAGUAUCUCUAGACGCUGUUCUUCUAGCUCAUAUCGCCUCGUCUGACAACGAUAUCCUAUCCGUGUGCUUGAACUGUCCAACUUCAGACUGAGAGACAAACUGCAAACCUUCCCUAAAAUAAUCAAAUGGAGCCCAAACCCAAGAAGGGGAAGGGGAUGUUCGGGCUGAAAGUGAAGAAGAAGAAGAGAGUCACCACAUCCGAUCUUGUCUUGGCCAAUAAAGCAGCUCUAGAUGGUACAGAGCCAGAGGGUAAAGCUGAGGUCACUGGUCUGUUAGAAGGACAGUACCCCGACGAUAGUCAGCCUGGCCUUUCUGGAACACUACCUGUCAGACAGCUACCCCAGACCAAGAG
rnacentral:lncRNA from 1 species